ensembl:snRNA U6 U6 spliceosomal RNA
UUGCUUUGGCGGCACAUAUACUAAAACUGGAAAAAUACAGAGAAGAUUAGCAUAGUCCCUGCACAAAGAUGACGUGCAAAUUCAUGAAGCAUUCCAUAGAUUU